rnacentral:rRNA from 1 species
AGUGAACGCUGGCGGUAGGCCUAACACAUGCAAGUCGAACGGCAGCACAGUAAGAGCUUGCUCUUACGGGUGGCGAGUGGCGGACGGGUGAGGAAUACAUCGGAAUCUACUUUUUCGUGGGGGAUAACGUAGGGAAACUUACGCUAAUACCGCAUACGACCUACGGGUGAAAGCAGGGGAUCUUCGGACCUUGCGCGAUUGAAUGAGCCGAUGUCGGAUUAGCUAGUUGGCGGGGUAAAGGCCCACCAAGGCGACGAUCCGUAGCUGGUCUGAGAGGAUGAGCAGGCACACUGGGACGGAGACCAGGCCGAGAGUCCUAAGGGAGGAAGCAGGGGGGAAUAUGGGAGAAGGGGCGAAAGCAGGAGCGAGCAAGGACGCGGGAGUGAUGAAGGAGGGAGGGAGGGAAAGCGCGUUGACACGGGAGGAUAAUGACAGUAACGGGAGAAUAAGCUCCGGCUAACUCCGUG